UAGGGAAUCUUCCGCAAUGGACGCAAGUCUGACGGAGCAACGCCGCGUGAGUGAAGAAGGACUUCGGUUCGUAAAACUCUGUUGUUAGAGACGAACAGCGCAUAGCGUAACUGUUAUGCGUGUGACGGUAUCUAACCAGAAAGCCACGGACAACUACGUGCCAGCACCCGCGGUAAUACGUAGGUGGCAAGCGUUGUCCGGAUUUAUUGGGCGUAAAGCGAGCGCAGGCGGUCAAUUAAGUCUGAUGUGAAAGCCCCCGGCUCAACCGGGGAGGGUCAUUGGAAACUGGUUGACUUGAGUGCAGAAGAGGAGAGUGGAAUUCCAUGUGUAACGGUGAAAUGCGUAGAUAUAUGGAGGAACACCAGUGGCGAAGGCGACUCUCUGGUCUGUAACUGACGCUGAGGCUCGAAAGCGUGGGUAGCAAACAGG
rnacentral:rRNA from 1 species